AUUGAACGCUGGCGGCAGGCCUAACACAUGCAAGUCGAGCGGGGUUUUCGGACCUAGCGGCGGACGGGUGAGUAAUGCGUAGGAAGCUGCCCGAUAGAGGGGGAUACCAGUUGGAAACGACUGUUAAUACCGCAUAAUGUCUACGGACCAAAGUGUGGGACCUUCGGGCCACAUGCUAUUGGAUGCGCCUACGUGGGAUUAGCUAGUUGGUGAGGUAAUGGCUCACCAAGGCGACGAUCUCUAGCUGGUUUGAGAGGAUGAUCAGCCACACUGGAACGGAGACACGGUCCAGACUCCUACGGGAGGCAGCAGUGGGGAAUAUUGGGCAAUGGACGCAAGUCUGACCCAGCCAUGCCGCGUGCAGGAUGAAGGCGUUAUGCGUUGUAAACUGCUUUUAUACAGGAAGAAACGACUCUUGCGAGAGGCAUUGACGGUACUGUAUGAAUAAGCACCGGCUAACUCCGUGCCAGCAGCCGCCGUAAUAC
rnacentral:rRNA from 1 species